rnacentral:rRNA from 1 species
GACGAACGCUGGCGGCGUGCUUAACACAUGCAAGUCGAACGGAAAGGCCCUGCUUUUGUGGGGUGCUCGAGUGGCGAACGGGUGAGUAACACGUGAGUAACCUGCCCUUGACUUUGGGAUAACUUCAGGAAACUGGGGCUAAUACCGGAUAGGAGCUCCUGCUGCAUGGUGGGGGUUGGAAAGUUUCGGCGGUUGGGGAUGGACUCGCGGCUUAUCAGCUUGUUGGUGGGGUAGUGGCUUACCAAGGCUUUGACGGGUAGCCGGCCUGAGAGGGUGACCGGCCACAUUGGGACUGAGAUACGGCCCAGACUCCUGCGGGAGGCAGCAGUGGGGAAUAUUGCACAAUGGGCGCAAGCCUGAUGCAGCGACGCCGCGUGAGGGAUGACGGCCUUCGGGUUGUAAACCUCUUUCAGUAGGGAAGAAGCGAAAGUGACGGUACCUGCAGAAGAAGCACCGGCUAACUACGUG